GUCACCAGAGCUAAAGAAAUUUCUGGAUCUUCAUUUUGUGGCCUUCGAUCUUGCCUUCUCCGCCGUUCCAUCAUUGUUGUCGGUGGUUGUAGGCUCGUCGUCACCUCGCAGAAAACAUCCAGCUUCUUUUCUAUUUCCCUUUGGUUUGUGCACUCCGUCAGCUCUCUCUCUCUCUCCUCCAUCUUCCCUGUUAUGCGUCGCCGGCCAACCUCCUUCUUCCUUGUUCGAGCAACAUCUUAUUCUCUUAGCUUCCAUCAUUGUUGAUUAGAGAUUUAUUAGCUGGCAUUGAUCCUGCCGCUGACCUCUGAAGGGGAAUACAACAUUACUGGGUACUAAUUUUGUUUGGUAUUGUAACAUUUUGAUGUAAAUGUUUAAGACUUGUGUAUCAUAAUUUAGAAGUAAAAUUAGUUGCUCCACAUAAGUUAAAGUUAGGGUUUUAUUUUGAUAUAUAUUGUUUGCUAACUGAAAGGAGUUAAACUCCUAAUUGGUACUAUAAUUGUGAAAAAUUAUUGUGUUGUAGA